CCUACGGGAGGCAGCAGUGAGGAAUAUUGGUCAAUGGGCGCUAGCCUGAACCAGCCAAGUAGCGUGAAGGAUGACUGCCCUAUGGGUUGUAAACUUCUUUUAUAUGGGAAUAAAGUGCAGUAUGUAUACUGCUUUGCAUGUACCUUAUGAAUAAGGAUCGGCUAACUCCGUGCCAGCAGCCGCGGUAAUACGGAGGUUCCGAGCGUUAUCCGGAUUUAUUGGGUUUAACGGGAGCGUAGGCGGGUUGUUAAGUCAGUUGUGAAAGUUUGCGGCUCAACCGUAAAAUUGCAGUUGAUACUGGCAGCCUUGAGUACAGUAGAGGGAGGCGGAAUUCGAGGUGUAGCGGUGAAAUGCUUAGAUAUCACGAAGAACUCCGAUUGCGAAGGCAGCCUGCUGGACUGUAACUGACGCUGAUGCGCGAAAGUGUGGGUAUCAAACAGGAUUAGAUACCCUUGUAGUC
rnacentral:rRNA from 1 species